AAGAGAGCGGUGGGUACUCCAAGGUGCAAAUUGGAUGUGGAAAUUGUUGAUGAAACUAGGCACAUUGCGGCAUCAGUAUUCGGACUACUUGCAGAGUCAUUGUUGUUACAUUCAAGUAAACAAGUUAUGGAACUAGAACAGGAGGGAAAAAAACUACCACUGGUAAAUAUCA